GGGGUGGUGGUUUGGCGGUAGAAUUCUGCCUUCCAUGUGGGAGACCUGGGUUUGAUUCCUGGCCAAUCCA
rnacentral:tRNA from 1 species